rnacentral:misc_RNA from 1 species
GAUGAAGAACGUAGCGAAAUGCGAUACGUAAUGUGAAUUGCAGAAUUCAGUGAAUCAUCGAAUCUUUGAACGCAUAUUGCGCUCUCUGGUAUUCCGGAGAGCAUGCUUGUUUGAGUAUCAGUAAACACCUCAACUUCCAUAUCUUUUUUGAAAUGGGAGUUGGACUUGAGUGAUCCCAACGCUUUUCCUCACCGAAAAGUGGCGGGUUACUUGAAAUGCAGGUGCAGCUGGACUUUUCUCUGAGCUAUAAGCAUAUCUAUUUAGUCUGCCUAAAAAACAGAUUAUUACCUUUGCUGCAGCUAACAUAUAGGAGAUUAGUUCUUGUGCUGACUGAUGCAGGAUUCACAAAGACGGCUUCGGCCGACUUUGUAAACUCGAUCUCAAAUCAAGUAAGACUACCCGCUGAACUUAAGCAUAUCAAUAAGCGGAGGA